rfam:Apaloderma vittatum contig55333, whole genome shotgun sequence.
GGUCGGUUAGCUCAGUCAGUUGAGCAUGGCGCUAGCAAUGCCAAGGUCACGGGUUCGAUUCCCAUUCGGUUCC